rnacentral:rRNA from 1 species
UACGUAGGGUGCAAGCGUUGUCCGGAAUUAUUGAGCGUAAAGAGCUCGUAGGCGGUCUGUCGCGUCUGCUGUGAAAACCUAGGGCUUAACCCUGGGCCUGCAGUGGGUACGGGCAGACUAGAGUGCGGUAGGGGAGACUGGAAUUCCUGGUGUAGCGGUGAAAUGCGCAGAUAUCAGGAGGAACACCGGUGGCGAAGGCGGGUCUCUGGGCCGUAACUGACGCUGAGGAGCGAAAGCAUGGGGAGCGAACAGG